rnacentral:sRNA from 1 species
CCUCUUCGAUCUGCUGGGGGCAGAUGAAGUGGAUAUGCGCAUCGAUGCCGCCGGCGGUCAGGAUCUUGCCCUCACCGGCGAUGACUUCGGUGCCCGGGCCGAUGACGAUCUCCACGUCGGGCUGGGUGUCGGGGUUACCGGCCUUGCCGAUGGCCGCAAUGCGACCCUCCUUGAGGCCGACAUCGGCCUUGACGAUGCCCCACCAGUCGAGGAUCAGGGCGUUGGUGAUCACGGUGUCCAUCACCGCAUCGUCGGCACGCUGGCUCUGGCCCAUGCCGUCGCGG